UAGGGAAUCUUCGGCAAUGGACGAAAGUCUGACCGAGCAACGCCGCGUGAGUGAAGAAGGUUUUCGGAUCGUAAAACUCUGUUGUUAGAGAAGAACAAGGACGUUAGUAACUGAACGUCCCCUGACGGUAUCUAACCAGAAAGCCACGGCUAACUACGUGCCAGCAGCCGCGGUAAUACGUAGGUGGCAAGCGUUGUCCGGAUUUAUUGGGCGUAAAGCGAGCGCAGGCGGUUUCUUAAGUCUGAUGUGAAAGCCCCCGGCUCAACCGGGGAGGGUCAUUGGAAACUGGGAGACUUGAGUGCAGAAGAGGAGAGUGGAAUUCCAUGUGUAGCGGUGAAAUGCGUAUAUAUAUGGAGGAACACCAGUGGCGAAGGCGGCUCUCUGGUCUGUAACUGACGCUGAGGCUCGAAAGCGUGGGGAGCAAACAGG
rnacentral:rRNA from 1 species